AGGCCCUUCGGGGUACACGAGCGGCGAACGGGUGAGUAACACGUGGGUAACCUGCCCUGUACUCUGGGAUAAGCCUUGGAAACGAGGUCUAAUACCGGAUACGACCUUGGGACGCAUGUCUUGUGGUGGAAAGUUCCGGCGGUAUGGGAUGGACCCGCGGCCUAUCAGCUUGUUGGUGGGGUAAUGGCCUACCAAGGCGACGACGGGUAGCCGGCCUGAGAGGGUGAUCGGCCACACUGGGACUGAGACACGGCCCAGACUCCUACGGGAGGCAGCAGUGGGGAAUAUUGCACAAUGGGCGAAAGCCUGAUGCAGCGACGCCGCGUGAGGGAUGACGGCCUUCGGGUUGUAAACCUCUUUCAGCAGGGACGAAGCGCAAGUGACGGUACCUGCAGAAGAAGCACCGGCUAACUACGUGCCAGCAGCCGCGGUAAUACGUAGGGUGCGAGCGUUGUCCGGAAUUAUUGGGCGUAAAGAGCUCGUAGGCGGUUUGUCGCGUCGGCCGUGAAAACUUGGGGCUUAACUCCAAGCUUGCGGUCGAUACGGGCAGACUUGAGUUCGGCAGGGGAGACUGGAAUUCCUGGUGUAGCGGUGAAAUGCGCAGAUAUCAGGAGGAACACCGGUGGCGAAGGCGGGUCUCUGGGCCGAUACUGACGCUGAGGAGCGAAAGCGUGGGGAGCGAACAGGAUUAGAUACCCUGGUAGUCCACGCCGUAAACGGUGGGUGCUAGGUGUGGGGGG
rnacentral:rRNA from 1 species